CCUACGGGAGGCAGCAGUGAGGAAUAUUGGUCAAUGGGCGCGAGCCUGAUCCAGCCACGUCGCGUGAAUGAUGACUGCCCUACGGGUUGUAAACUCUUUUUAUAAAGGAAUAAAGUGAGGCACGUGUGCCUUUUUGUCUGUACUUUAUGAAUAAGGAUCGGCUAACUCCGUGCCAGCGGCCGCGGUAAUACGGAGGAUCCGAGCGUUAUCCGGAUUUAUUGGGUUUAAGGGGAGCGUAGAUGGGUUGUUAAGUCAGUUGUGAAAGUUUGCGGCGCAACCGUAAAAUUGCAAUUGAUACUGGCAGUCUUGAGUACAGUAGAGGUAGGCGGAAUUCGUGGUGUAGCGGUGAAAUGCUUAGAUAUCACGAAGAACACCGAUGGCGAAGGCAGCUUACUAAACUGCCACUGACAUUGAUGCUCGAAAGUGUGGGUAUCAAACAGGAUUAGAUACCCGAGUAGUC
rnacentral:rRNA from 1 species